rnacentral:rRNA from 1 species
UUAAUUUGAGAGUUUGAUCCUGGCUCAGGACGAACGCUGGCGGCGUGCCUAAUACAUGCAAGUCGAACGAACUCUGGUAUUGAUUGGUGCUUGCAUCAUGAUUUACAUUUGAGUGAGUGGCGAACUGGUGAGUAACACGUGGGAAACCUGCCCAGAAGCGGGGGAUAACACCUGGAAACAGAUGCUAAUACCGCAUAACAACUUGGACCGCAUGGUCCGAGCUUGAAAGAUGGCUUCGGCUAUCACUUUUGGAUGGUCCCGCGGCGUAUUAGCUAGAUGGUGGGGUAACGGCUCACCAUGGCAAUGAUACGUAGCCGACCUGAGAGGGUAAUCGGCCACAUUGGGACUGAGACACGGCCCAAACUCCUACGGGAGGCAGCAGUAGGGAAUCUUCCACAAUGGACGAAAGUCUGAUGGAGCAACGCCGCGUGAGUGAAGAAGGGUUUCGGCUCGUAAAACUCUGUUGUUAAAGAAGAACAUAUCUGAGAGUAACUGUUCAGGUAUUGACGGUAUUUAACCAGAAAGCCACGGCUAACUACGUGCCAGCAGCCGCGGUAAUACGUAGGUGGCAAGCGUUGUCCGGAUUUAUUGGGCGUAAAGCGAGCGCAGGCGGUUUUUUAAGUCUGAUGUGAAAGCCUUCGGCUCAACCGAAGAAGUGCAUCGGAAACUGGGAAACUUGAGUGCAGAAGAGGACAGUGGAACUCCAUGUGUAGCGGUGAAAUGCGUAGAUAUAUGGAAGAACACCAGUGGCGAAGGCGGCUGUCUGGUCUGUAACUGACGCUGAGGCUCGAAAGUAUGGGUAGCAAACAGGAUUAGAUACCCUGGUAGUCCAUACCGUAAACGAUGAAUGCUAAGUGUUGGAGGGUUUCCGCCCUUCAGUGCUG